UGAACGCUGGCGGCGUGCCUAAUACAUGCAAGUCGAACGGGAUACAGCAAUGUAUCUAGUGGCGACCGGGCGCGUAACACGUAGCUGACCUGCCCCUCGGCGGGGGACAACAGUACGAAAGUGCUGCUAAUACCGCAUACCUUUCUGGCGAUUAGAAGGCGAGAAAGAAACUUUUGGGGCCGAGGGAGGGGGCUGCGGCCCAUCAGGUAGUUGGUGAGGUAACGGCUCACCAAGCCAACGACGGGUCGGGGGCCUGAGAGGGUGGCCCCCCACACUGGGACUGACACACGGCCCAGACUCCUACGGGAGGCAGCAGUAAGGGAUAUUGCGCAAUGGGCGAAAGCCUGACGCAGCAACGCCGCGUGCAGGAUGAAGGCCUUCGGGUCGUAAACUGCUUUGGCGCGGGACGAGGAAGGACGGUACCGCGCGAACAAGUCACGGCUAACUACGU
rnacentral:rRNA from 1 species